rnacentral:rRNA from 1 species
AGAGUUUGAUCCUGGCUCAGGAUGAACGUUGGCGGCGUGCCUAAUACAUGCAAGUCGAACGGAGAUUGUAGCAAUACGGUCUCAGUGGCGAACGGGUGAGUAACGCGUUGGUGACCUGCCCCGAAGUGUGGAAUAACAGAUCGAAAGAGCUGCUAAUACCGCAUAAUAUCCAGGAGAUUAGAUGCUUCUGGAUUAAAGGAUUUAUCCGCUUCGGGAGGGGCCUGCGUCCCAUCAGCUAGUUGGUAAGGUAAAGGCUUACCAAGGCGAUGACGGGUAGGGGACCUGAGAGGGUGGCCCCCCACAAUGGAACUGAAACACGGUCCAUACACCUACGGGUGGCAGCAGUAGGGAAUAUUAGUAAUGGGCGAAAGCCUGAACUAGCAACGCCGCGUGUGCGAAGAAGGCCUUCGGGUUGUAAAGCACUUUUUGAGAGGAUGAGGAAGGACGGUACUCUCAGAAUAAGUCUCGGCUAACUACGUGCCAGCAGCCGCGGUAACACGUAGGAGGCGAACGUUAUCCGGAUUUACUGGGCGUAAAGCGCGUGUAGGUGGUUUGGUAAGUAGGGCGUGAAAGCUCCUGGCUCAACUGGGAGAGGCCGUUCUAAACUGCCGAACUAGAGGAUGGUAGAGGGAGGUGGAAUUCCGGGUGUAGCGGUGGAAUGCGCAGAUAUCCGGAGGAACACCAGUGGCGAAAGCGGCCUCCUGGACCAUUCCUGACACUCAGACGCGAAAGCUAGGGUAGCAAACGGGAUUAGAGACCCCGGUAGUCCUAGCCCUAAACGAUGUAGACUAGGCGUCGGUGGUUUAAACGCCAUCGGUGUCCAAGCUAACGCGAUAAGUCUACCGCCUGGGGACUACGGCCGCAAGGUUAAAACUCAAAGGAAUUGACGG